GCUCUUUGCGCAUCGUUUCUGCAAACAAUAUAAUUAACGGCUAUGCAGAACUCGGAACGAGCAAUUAAGAUACUUUUUUCAUCCGAGGAGAUUCCCAUUGUGAAUAGAAUGUGAUAUAAUAGCUUAGCUUUCAUCGAUGUUUUUGUGCGAAAUUUUUCUAAUGGUUUCCAUAAUAGGAGGCUUUUCCGCGGGUUGUCUCACCGGUGAGUCACGGAUUUUCCCGAAUUUUCCCGAGUGGGCGAAAUGAAAACCUACAAAAGCGGUGUCAGAUCACUCACUCGGCCAUUAUUACUCACGCUCGUAGAAAGUAAAGUAGAUCCGGCGAUUCGUCAUUCAGAAGCGAUGUGAUUUGGAAGAUCUUUGGUGUUAAAUCCUGGUUAUGGCGGUCAGUGAUUUGUGUUUGUUUUUUAAUGUUACCUAAUGACCUGCUAAUGUAAUAGAAGUUCCACAUACCACACCAAUUUUUCCAAAUGGAAAAUCACGAAAUCCGGUGUCUACGCUCGCGUCGGUGUGACUGUCACCCACAGUGAGGUCAUUAACGCACAAAAAGCGUGCCUUUCUCAGGGAAAUCUGAAUUGGUUCGGUUCAUAUUAAGUGGUUUCAAAACGUGGGGUUAUUUACACAUCCUGAUACUGAGAUUACAGAGAAUUCAGUUACGUUUGACCUGUGGAAACCCCGUACUCAUUGUCUAUGCAAAUCCUAGAUUCUACAAAUGUCCAACGCAAAUGGCAAUCGGAAAUGAGAAUGCACGACUGCGUAGGAUCCCAUCUACGAUCAACGGUUUUCCUAACCUGAAAAAGGACAAAAUACACUUCAAGAAUCAUUCAUUUAUACAAAUGGUGUAAAAACUUGGAAAUUGGAAAAGCCAUCAUAGAGAGAUAACAAACGAUGAGCCAGUUUUAUAUGGGUCUAAAGCUCAGGGCACAGGCCUUCCCCUAGUACACAGAUGGGCUCUAAAAUGAUGUGAUUUCAUGAAGUUAGAAGUACUAGGCACCAACAUCCCAAGUAUGGUUAAAGGCAAUUGUAAAAUCCGAAA